UAAGGAAUAUUGCGCAAUGGGGGAAACCCUGACGCAGCAACGCCGCGUGGAGGAUGACACUUUUCGGAGCGUAAACUCCUUUUAUCAGGAAAGAAUAAUGACGGUACCUGAUGAAUAAGCACCGGCUAACUCCGUGCCAGCAGCCGCGGUAAUACGGGGGGUGCAAGCGUUACUCGGAAUCACUGGGCGUAAAGGACGCGUAGGCGGAUUAUCAAGUCUUUUGUGAAAUCUAGUGGCUUAACCACUAAACUGCUUAGGAAACUGAUAGUCUAGAGUAGGGGAGAGGUAGAUGGAAUUCUUGGUGUAGGGGUAAAAUCCGUAGAGAUCAAGAAGAAUACCCAUUGCGAAAGCGAUCUGCUGGAAACUAACUGAUGCUGAGGCGUGAAAGCGUGGGUAGCAAACAGG
rnacentral:rRNA from 1 species